rnacentral:rRNA from 1 species
AACGAACGCUGGCGGCAUGCCUAACACAUGCAAGUCGAACGAGACCUUCGGGUCUAGUGGCGCACGGGUGCGUAACGCGUGGGAACCUGCCCUUAGGUUCGGAAUAACUCCCCGAAAGGGGUGCUAAUACCGGAUAAUGUCUUCGGACCAAAGAUUUAUCGCCUUUGGAUGGGCCCGCGUUGGAUUAGCUAGUUGGUAGGGUAAAAGCCUACCAAGGCGACGAUCCAUAACUGGUCUGAGAGGAUGAUCAGCCACACUGGGACUGAGACACGGCCCAGACUCCUACGGGAGGCAGCAGUGGGGAAUAUUGGACAAUGGGCGAAAGCCUGAUCCAGCAAUGCCGCGUGAGUGAUGAAGGCCUUAGGGUUGUAAAGCUCUUUUAACCGGGAUGAUAAUGACAGUACCGGGAGAAUAAGCUCCGGCUAACUCCGUG